AGUGAACGCUGGCGGUAGGCCUAACACAUGCAAGUCGAACGGCAGCACAGUAAGAGCUUGCUCUUACGGGUGGCGAGUGGCGGACGGGUGAGGAAUACAUCGGAAUCUACUCUUUCGUGGGGGAUAACGUAGGGAAACUUACGCUAAUACAGCAUACGACCUACGGGUGAAAGCAGGGGAUCUUCGGACCUUGCGCGAUUGAAUGAGCCGAUGUCGGACUAGCUAGUUGGCGGGGUAAAGGCCCACCAAGGCGACGAUCCGUAGCUGGUCUGAGAGGAUGGUCGGCCACACUGGAACUGAGACACGGUCCAGGCUCCUACGGGAGGCAGCAGUGGGGAAUAUUGGACAAUGGGCGCAAGCCUGGUCCAGCCAUACCGCGUGGGUGAAGAAGGCCUUCGGGUUGUAAAGCCCUUUUGUUGGGAAAGAAAAGCAGCAGGUUAAUACCCCGCUGUUCUGACGGUACCCAAAGAAUAAGCACCGGCUAACUUCGUG
rnacentral:rRNA from 1 species